UGGGAUGUAGCUCAGAGGUAGAGUGCUCGCCUAGCAAGUGUGAGGCCCUGGCUCAAUCUCCAGUAUCACAA
rnacentral:tRNA from 1 species